rnacentral:lncRNA from 1 species
AUGUGUUGGAUUUUUGUUGAUAAGAGUGCAUCAACAUAUUCUUAGUUUUUCUCCCCAAAAUCAAGAACACUUCACACUAGGUAAAGGCUCAUGAUACCACUUGAAUUCAUUGAUUUCAUGUGAAGAAUAGAAAAGAAGGGUGAGCUGAGUGUGUUGUUGAAUGGGUUCAAAAAGAGAAGUAACAUGGGGAAUCACCAACAGAAACAUGGCUGAACGAAUUGCAAAUAUCUACUUCUUUUUCUUUCUUUUCUAUUGACACAAGAAAAAGAAUCAUGGAAGGAAAGGAGAAGAAGAAACAUUGCACAUCUAGGUGUAUUUUUGGAUCAAGC